rnacentral:rRNA from 1 species
AGCGAACGCUGGCGGCAGGCCUAACACAUGCAAGUCGAACGGAUCCUUCAGGAUUAGUGGCGGACGGGUGAGUAACACGUGGGAACGUGCCCUUUGGUUCGGAACAACUCAGGGAAACUUGAGCUAAUACCGGAUGUGCCCUUCGGGGGAAAGAUUUAUCGCCAUUGGAGCGGCCCGCGUCUGAUUAGCUAGUUGGUGAGGUAAAGGCUCACCAAGGCGACGAUCAGUAGCUGGUCUGAGAGGAUGAUCAGCCACAUUGGGACUGAGACACGGCCCAAACUCCUACGGGAGGCAGCAGUGGGGAAUCUUGCGCAAUGGGCGAAAGCCUGACGAAGCCAUGCCGCGUGAAUGAUGAAGGUCUUAGGAUUGUAAAAUUCUUUCCCCGGGGACGAUAAUGACGGUACCCGGAGAAGAAGCCCCGGCUAACUUCGUGCCAGCCGCCGCCGCGGUAA